rnacentral:lncRNA from 12 species
CCUUCAGAGAAAACUGCCACUGCUCCAUGACCAACUUUACAUUGAAAUACCAGCAUCAUCCACGGGAGAAUGUUUACAUGCUGCUCUGCCUUACAUGUCCCCAUUGUGUCUGGAUGCCACAGCAGUUUACAGAUGGUAGUCAGAUUGCUUGAAAGACCUGCCAGAGGUGAAAG